AAAUAAGCCUCACAAGGAAGAUUUUAUAUGUAUAAAAUAUUUUAUGUGUGAAUAUAAUGUCAAAUGUUAAUGCCAAAGAGACAGGUAAAAGGACACAUGCUGGGAGAGGGAGUUGCCAAAACAGUUAUCUGAUAACACUGCAGUCUCUAGGAUCAAAAGAAUAGUCAUAGACAAAGACAAACCCAGGAAAGAGCCUGAGGUGUCAGGGUAUUCAAGAUAAACAGUUGGCCCUGAGGUGGUGAUAUGCGACUUAACAGUUUCGUCAUAAUGUGUAAAUGAAGGCUAACUACAAGUUCUCGUAAUAGUAUGCAAAGAGCCUGUUGUAAAAACAUGUUGUGAGAUCAAGCGAUUACAGGAUCUCAAAAGCCUUCAUUUACAUAUGGUGCGGGAAAGUUAUGUCAUCUAACAAGAAACAAGAGUCCAUCUGAGCUUCUGUUUAGCCAGUUGUCUUGUGGGGGGUGAGACUCUAAAAACAGUAUAAAAGAUGUGUCCAAAGUACAGUCUGGAGUUCUGUUUUGGGGAACAGACCUCUGUGUAAAGGCCCAGAGACUGACGUGCUGUCCAAGGACUGAUGAGCAGUUUCUGAGAAGACUGUUUGUAGUUUCAAUCAAGGAGCAUGAAUAUCUGAACAAAGUGUGCAAGAUACUGCAAGGAGAAUCUUGAGUCAAGAAUCAUUUCUACCUCAUAUUCUCGUUGUUCAUCUCUGACGACAGGAAUAUGAGAUUGUUGUCCAGAGAAAAAACACUGGUUUAAUGAGUAACACAUGAAACACAUUAUAGAUACACAUCUCAGGGGGACAUUGGAGAAGAACAGCAGCAGGAUUGAGUGGGCUGAAAGUGGGCUGAUCAACUCGGGACCAAAUUCUGGAGAGGGAAUCCUUGAAUACAUACUAUUUCCCACCAUGGCUGCCUUUCUUGAGAGCCUGGAUAUAUUCAAAGUUUUUUUAUGGUCAGUAAAGAUGAGGGUCUUACUCCAGCGAAUUACACCAUUCUUCCACUGCUAAUUUAAUGGCAAAUAGCCCCAGUGCCAAUAUCAAGUCCUUAGAAUAGGUGCAGAUGUGAAGGUUUUGAAGGCUUGUGGGGACUAAACACUGCAUUUAUUUCCAUGUCAGAGCUAGUAUAGGACCAAUAUGUGAGAAAAAUCCUGAAUUGUCUGUAAUAUUUAGCAAAGCCAACGAAUCUCUCUCCAGCUUUAGUGCACAUAGACAGAAGCCAUAUUUAGAUAGGGGAAACCUUUGCAGGAUUCAUUUCAAAUCCUUCAUGGGAGAUAAUAUACCCUAAGAAAGAAAUAUUGGAGACAUUGAAGCUACAUUUUACUAACUUGGCAUACAGGUUUUUUUUUAGAUAGAACCUCACAUUAUAAUGGAGUUAUUUAUCAAAAUCUGACAUUUUUCAUUAUUUUUUGAAAAACACUCUGACCAAAGCCGUACCGAAUUGUUUCCACCUAUUUAUAAAUACAUUUUCUUUUAAUAUGCAUUUCUUGUGAGGGUAAAGACUCGAUAAAAUAGUGAAACAA